CAAGCGAGCCAGAAGUCUUCGGGC
rnacentral:siRNA from 1 species